UGGGGCGUGGCCAAGCGGUAAGGCACCGGUUUUUGGUACCGGCAUUCGCAGGUUCGAAUCCUGCCGCCCCAGCCA
rnacentral:tRNA from 1 species